ensembl:antisense Gm29123 predicted gene 29123
AGAAGAGCAAGUGAAGCCCCAGGCAGCGGCCUCACAGGGGCAGCAAGGUCUGAGCUCUCUCCUACAGCAAGAGCACAGGCCACGAGGUUUACCUUCUAAUCUGCAAGCUCAGAGGACUUUGGAUCUGUCAGUUAAAACAAAUAAUACAUGUUUGGAGGGGUCUAAACCCUCCCUGAUCCUCACAAGAACCACCUGAGGGAGGAGCCAGCACUGGAAAUUAUCCCAGUCAGCAAUGCACCCACACCCUUGUCCAGUGUCCCUCUCCACAGAAGGUUUGAACACUUGGUCCCUCUGGCUCUCAGAAGACCACAGAGGGAAAAGAACAUUCUUGAAAUGGCUACACUUCACAGGCACUGCCCAUGUGCCAGGAACAGAGCCAAGUGCUGCUUGGCAUACCACCUGUGAAAUCUCACCAAAGGAGGACCCGGCGUCUCCUAGGUUGAGAAGAGGAACCAAGACCUCAGAGAUCCGGCCACUGGUUGGUCGGAAGCCAGAAGCCAAGCUCUUAACCACAGGUAGCUUUCCUCCUUCAAAUGUAAUCUUGAGAAGUAAGCAGAGAAGAGCCCUCAACCCAGAGAUUAAGGUUAAUUUCUAACCCGGAGCAGCCAACCUUGAGAGCUCAGGAAGUGGGUUGGUUUUUUUCCUCUGUCAGUUUCAUUGAACUACCUAGAACGAGGUGUCCUUCCUCUCCCACCCCACCUAGCACAACUUCUCAAUUGCAUAAUGGGCCUCUGACUAUGGCAAAAGUAAGGGCAGAUCUAAAUGAAUCCAUCCUUGUUCAUUAAAAGUAGAUUUAAAAAUGCAUUUAAUUCUAGUAUGCAGGCAGAGGCAGGCAGAUCUCUGAGUUCAAAAUCAGCCUGAUCUACGUGGAUAGACCCUGUCCAAAACAACACAAACAAGAAGUUUAAAGGUACUUGAGGGGCUGGAGAGAUGGCUUCGUAGUUAAGAGCACUGGCUGCUCUUCCAGAGGUCCUGAGUUCAAUUCCCAGCAACCACAUGGUGGCUCACAACCACCUGUAAUGGGAUCUGAUGCCCUCUUCUGGUGUGUCUGAGGACAGCUACAGUGUACUCAUAUGCAUAAAAUAAAUAUUUUUUUUUAAAGUACUUCUGUAGCUGGAGUAAAAAUCUGUCCUGGAGAAGAUUUGGGGUGGGCAAGAUGCUAACUCUGAAAUCAGCCAAGACCCCAGAGUCUUUCUGCCUAAGGAACAGACUCUCAAGUCCAGAGAACAGCAGGGUGGGUAAGAACAGACAGCGGGCAGGCCUAAGCAGUGGUUCCCCGAAACACCGGUACAAGUAUCUGCUACAGAGAGGCCCUCUGGGUACCCACCGUACCCCUCCAGGAGGCGCCCAUCUGCCCACAAGCCGUCCUUUCAGCCUUCUUCCAGGGCAGAGCAUGGAGCUCCCUGCCUCCUCUCAGUCCACAGCGUGGCCUGGAAUCCUUCCUGUGCAAUCUUCCAAGCAGAGAAAGAGCCCCCGCCACAAGUGCUGAAAUCUCUCCUUUGUCCAACUCGGCCAAGAACAGAGGGAAAAUGGCACCCAUUCUUCUCGGUCUGAAUGGCUGGGAAAUGGCUUUUGCUUUUCAACAUGAAAUGUGCCUAAAAAUAAGCUGUGAAUCUCAACCAGAGGUUGAAAAUAGCUCCACAGUGAGCACAGCUCCUCUCCGAGUGAGUUUAAGGACAGCCUUCAUUCCAAGAUCUGAAAGCUAAAACGUCACGUUCAGAGACGAGGUCACAGGCAGGGUGGCUCAAGGGUGAAGGACCUCCAAAGGCUCACAAGGUUGUCCUUGUCAGUCUCUGCUGGGGGAUGGGGGGAGCAGCAAGGGUCCAGGCAAGGUCUGUCCCUCUGGUUUCCAGCAGCCACACCGGAGAAAGCACAAGUCAGAAGUUCCACAUGUGCUUGGCCCCAUGAACUCCCUGACAAUCCUAAGUGCCUAGGAGUGUACACCUUGUUUCAGUGAUUGGGAGAAAGAGAUGAAGGGCAAAGGACAUCAGAGCGGCAGCAGUUACUUCCCCAUGACUGGAGAGCAAACCACCCUGCCACCACAGGUCCCUCGUUAGGUAUUGCCUCUGAGUCAGACAGCCUCUGGGCAGGAAGGGCGAGCGAGACAGCCAAUCUGAAGGAAAUCAGUUGCUAAAGGUGAAGUGUCUUUUCUUAUUGUUUACCAAUAUCUCUAGGAGAGCCUGAAAUCUGAUAGGCCAAACAGCAUUCCUACAAAAUGGUCUAAGAGCUGAGAGCUCUGGUCCACAUCUUCUGGUAGGAAUCCAAACCUGAGCCAACUGAGCAGAACCCUGGCACAGGCUCCUAGAGCAGCCUACCCCAGUUCCCCUGAACACGCCUCCCACAGCCUCACCCCACGCCUCUCAACCGCUUUCUCUCUGGGCUCCUCUGGAAGGAGGAGGUUUUGCAGUGAUUCUCAAUGGUGACACCUGACAAUAGCUGAAGACAUUUCUGGUCGUCACAACUGGGAAGCAGGAUGCUACUGGCACAUAUCAGGUAAGGUCAGGGAUGCUAAAGACAUCGUAGUGCACGGGACUGCACACAAAGAAUAUCUGCCCCAAAUGCAGAUUGCAAACUAGAGUUACUGGAAGGAUGGGAUGCGGGCAGAGAUGAGGCGUGGAAGCUUGUCAGACCUGGUUCACAGGCUAGAGCAGCGCUCCCGGGCUCCCCGAGGAGCCAGGCUCUCUGGCCAUGCAGGGGACCCAAGUGUCAGGGAAGAAGGGGACUCACUACCCCGCUCCCUUCCUACCUCAGGAGAGAACCUCGCUAUCACUGUUUUGAAAACCCUUACUGUUCCCAGCAUAGGAGAAUGAAACAACUGUGGAGGUGGAUGCCGACUGGCUUGCUAAGACAGACACUGACACAUGGUUAAAAUGGUCGAUUUUAAUAUAUGAGAGAUCUCCAUAUAUACCCCUGCAAUAAAACUGAGCAGAACAAUACCCUGGGCUGUCUUCUUUUUCCCCUUUCAGAGAAACCAACCCCUCAGGCAGCAUUGGGUGUGUGUGCUGGGGGGAGGGGGCUUUCUAGAGGGCACACCUGUUCUCUCAAGGCUCUAGAAGGGACUUCUGACAAAGAACAAGAAGUUCCUAUCUCAACCAAGAACAACUCUAAGGUUACUGUGUCACUUUAGGUGCCUUCAUGACACAUCUGUGAAUACUCUGAACCCCUGAAGAAAUGGAGGCUUGGGAAGAUGGGGUGCUUGUCCAGGACUACCCAGCAGGGUUCAGAGGCAGCUCCGCGACACCACAACUCAUAUCCUGUCCCCUGUUGAGUCCCAUGUAGGGCCACCCAUUGGUAGGACUAUAGCAAUAGCCCUGAUAUGGGCCUCAAAGCAGUUUGCGGACAACUGGCUACCUUGAGUCCUGUUGAGCCCUUCACUUCCAGUUCUCCAUUCUGUCCUGCUGGCUUCCUCUACCCACGUGACUGCACCCUAGACUCUCAGGCCCCGAAGCUCUGGGAAACAAGGCGGGUGUGGUCCCCAUUCUGAGUGGGGCUGAGGGACAACAGGCAGUUUGUCUAAGUUAGUUUCCUAAUAACUAU